AUUGAACGCUGGCGGCAUGCUUUACACAUGCAAGUCGAACGGCAGCACAGGGAGCUUGCUCCCGGGUGGCGAGUGGCGAACGGGUGAGUAAUACAUCGGAACGUGUCCUUUUGUGGGGGAUAACUACUCGAAAGAGUAGCUAAUACCGCAUAAUACCUGAGGGUGAAAGCGGGGGACUUUAGGGCCUCGCGCAGUUGGAGCGGCCGAUGACUGAUUAGCUAGUUGGUGGGGUAAAAGCUUACCAAGCCGACGAUCUGUAGCUGGUCUGAGAGGACGACCAGCCACACUGGGACUGAGACACGGCCCAG
rnacentral:rRNA from 1 species